CCGGGGCCGGCGGCAGCGGCGGGGCCCGCGGGCCGAGGGCAGCCCCUGGCGGCGCUUGCGGCCGCUUCGGGGCCCUCCCGAGCCCGCCGAGCCCCUGGCGCCACGGAGCCCCGGCCCGACCCGAGGGGGUGGAAACGAGGAGAGGAGAAGCGGAGCCGUGACCUCUGUUUCGGACAAGCUGAGCAUUGCUUGGGCUGCAGGUCAAUGGCGACGGUCAGCUGUCGUGACCAGGGUUUGAUGAUAAUGUGGAGGCUGCUUUCAACCUACACCUCUGGCAGGCUUGCUGGAGAACCUGUAACAUCAUUGCCUAGCUGCUGCGGCUAAAGCUCUUGGGACGUGAUUCUGCAUGUAGUGAGCUAAGAGAUCCCCUCUUGAGGCCAAAGCGGGUGAGCUGGAGGCACUCAAGGACGCAGAGGACACACUGAGAUGACAUCUCAGAUCAGUCCUACUCAUGGGGUAGUGCUGUCUUGCACAAAGUCAUGCAGCAGGAGGACAUCAAAAUGAAGAGCAAGGAAACCACCAUGAAGGCAGAACCUCCACACCAGAGGAUGGUCACAUACCUGCUGGCACCAAGGACAUUCUUGGGAGCAGAGAUCCCCACUGCUGGAAGAGGAAAGCUUGGUGGAAGGGGGUUCAAGUACCAGGCACGAUAGAUGGUUGUGAGGCUGUGACUGGCACACAGGUACAAAGCUGCCAGACCAGGGUCUACCUCUUCCGGAGAGCCAGGGAGCACUGGUGGACAUGAGCUGUGUUGGCACCCGUGACUCAGGGAGGAGGAGAGAAAUCCCAGAGCGGAAAAAUUAAGCAGCUAAGGGAACAGCUUCUUUUGUGGGACCUCUGCAGUGACUUUUUCAGAGGCUUUCACAGCUCAGGCAGUCAUGGGCUGAGGAAAACUUAUACUAGUGGUACCUGGUACAAUAACACAAGGGGUCCUCCUCCAGAGAUACAGGUGGGUCACUCUGUGACAUGUACAUGGGAGAUCAAACCCACCAGUCAUGAUGUCUGCCAUCAGUACACCAAAGAUGGCAGCAGGAGGUGAAUAUGAAGUGUCUGAACAGACUUUGAGAGCAUGGCAAAGACACCGCAGUGUCUCUGAGAACAGAGGGUUAUAAACCCUGGCUCGUUUGCCAAUAAAACCACACUGCCUACAAGAAGAAACAGCCUUCAUAAAUUGUGAGGCUGUGAACUCUAGAUCACUGUAAGAUGAAUUAAGAGAUGUGUGAUCAAUAUUUCCAGGCCAAAGUAUCCCCCUGUUGCCUGUUCUUGGCUGAAAGAUAUUUCCUACAACUGUCACUGAAGAAGUGCAAAAGGAGCCAGCUCCCUGAGAUCAUGCUCAAAUUGUUUCUUCAGAUGCUGCCCCCAGGUGGAAGAAAGUGCAUCUGGAGUCGUACACUCACCCCCCUUUCAUGAAGCUGCUCAGCUGGUGGACGUUCGUACUUGUGCACACACCACGUCAGGAAAUGGCAGGUGGAGGACCUUGCAUGAGGGGUCUUCCUCAUCUGUGGGUGUGGAAGAACUGGUGAUGCCAAAGGAGACAUUAUACACUGGAAAACAUGAAACUGGCUGUGGGUUGUCUACACGAAUUCCACCAUCAGCUGCCCUGAGCUGGGGGACAGCUGCCCAGAGCAGAGGACACUUGCCAAGAGGUGGGUGGCCAAGGCCGAUGACACGAGACUGAGCUGGCACCGCCACGUGCACCCAACCAGCAACAUGAGCGGUGGUGACACAGCUGUCCCAUCUCACUGUAACUCCCUGCUCCCUCUCCCACCAGGCUGCACGAGCUGCCUGACCUGUCUGGCUUUGCUGUGGCUGAUGUUUGUGCCAGAAAAUGUAAUACUGUUGUAGGUACUUGCCAAGCACUGAGUUUAUUUUUUAGCCACAGACAGAACCUGUAAUUCCUCAAGCUAAUCCUGCAGUCUGAUGUUUUUUUCUUACAAGCCUUACAAAUUAAUUGAAUCCCCAUUUCUGUGAGAAACCUGGAAGGAAAGUCCCACAGUCAGGACUCCAGAGUUAAAGAAAGAUGGGGAUUCGUGAGGUCACCUACGCCAUUUCUAACCAGUGCAGAGGCUUUUCUGGGGCUAUUUCUUGCUGGCCUUGUUGUCUCCUGGGGCAAUCAUUCAGACAUCUAUCUGAGAUCCUGUCAGGGUGUUUUGCAUUACAAUCUGCCUAAGUUUUCUCAGCUUCAUCCCAUUAUUCCUGUUCUUCUCAACCAUCACAAAAAAAAUUGCUCCAUUUUGUUGUUUAUAGAUGUCCCCAACUGAAAUAUCUGCAAGCUGUCAUUUCUCACCAUAUCCUUUCAGUGAAAUAAUACAAAUUUGAUUUUUUAAAACGUAAACUUAAUCCUUUUUGCCCUCAGAUAGUGUCUUGAGUUCUGCCUGCACACCGGCUGCUUACUAAUACAUACUGAUAACUAAGUCCUAUAAUGAGUGCAAGAAGUGGUUUAUUACUCUUUAUCUUUUAUCCUUUCUCACACAGUCAAGGGUUUGAGGACCAGCCAUGCUCCUGCUGAAGUCAGUGGGAACGGCAGCAAGUUCCUUGCUCUACCACAUAACUGUAGGGAGAAGUUAAGUUUCUGAACCUGUGGUUGCCAGCGUUGCAAUGCCAAAUGUUCCUGUUUGCAUUUGCUGCACUGUCAGGCAAGCUUGGUUCCUCUCAGCAUCCAGGUAUUCAGCUUUAGGCAAACCAGUUUGAAAGCUGUUCUUUGCUAGUUUUUUAAAUAUCUUGGAUAUCUACUAAGCAGACCAACUCAACGAACAGGUUCUUGUAUUUUAAUUUGAGUGCUGUGCACACAGGCUGGGUGCUGACAACCUGAAUACAUGCAUUGCUGUCCAAGUACCUCCCUGACCACCCUUUGUGAACAGCUGUUGUUAAGAGAGGAAAUGCUUGGGCUUAUGCCUGAGCAGUGUCUCAGGGGACCGCUUGACACAAACCCUGGGUAAUCCCCCAUGACAGCACAUCUGUAGGAGGCCACAGUCAGCCCCACUGUGCCGGAGCACUCCUGCAGGGCAGCCCAGAGACCAGACUGUUGGGCAGCUUGUGGGGAUGAGGCAGGUCUGAGGUCAACCUGGGUAGUCAGUCUGCAGGUUGGGGUCAGGAUCAGGCCAGUGAUGGUGACUGGGGUCAGACACAGCCUAGUGACAGCUGUGUGGGUCCAUAGUGACAAGGCAGAGCCGAGGCCAGGCCAGGCAGUCAUCCUGCAGGUCAGGGUCAGAGAGACCCAGGCUGGGCAUGGCCAUGGGCAGGGGCACGGGCACAUCAGUGAGAGCACUGGAGACAAGUACAUUUCCAACCCAGCUCAGAUGGGGAUGGAGGGCCCAGGGCUGCUCUGAACUGGGGUUCCUGGGCUGGGCUGGGGUGCAAGCCCCAGCUGAGGCUGGUCAGAGCUAUAAGGGCUUGUUAGCGACCUUGGGGCCCUGAGAACAGCUUCAUGGGCAGGUACGAUAACAGCAUGAGCAUGGUCAGUCUACAUUAAGCCAAAGGUCUGCCUCCCCCAGUGUCCUGAUCUCCAGGAGUGGUCAAUGAAGGGACACCUUCCCCCUUCUCUCACACGGAAUUCCUUGGCAAACAGAGGUGGGGGUUGUAGGUGCUGGCACUGCUGCUCCUUCUAUUGACACUUCCCCAGAGAUUCUGGAAGGAGAAAGAGCAUUGUCCAGCACUUGAGACUACAAGAGAAGCUGAGGACAGGCAGGGUGAUGCAUGGGAGAAGCUCAAAUCUCGCCACCAGUGGUGCCAAGACCUUGGGGAGCAAAUUGCCCCUCAUCUCACAGAGACAGACUAUGAUCAUCUCCUGUCAAAAAAGCAGGGACCUCUGACUGGCAGCCAGUCCCUCCCCACGUCCUUAGCACAGACCACAGCAACUCUGUGCAGGCCAGUGGGCUGCAGCUGGGAUCCAUGCAAGGAAACAUGAUCUGCUCAGGUCUACCUUAUGCAGUUACCAUCAGAUCCAUUUGACACCUUGGAACCUACUCAGGAUCUUCUCUGCUGGCAUAUGGACAUGGUCUGCACCAGCUUCACAUUUUGAAGGUUAUUUUAUUUUUAAUUUAAUAUUUCAAUAGCUUUCUUUACUAUGCUUUGUAGCCAUACCAGCCUAUUUUUAGUUUUUUCCUCCUGGUGAUAUAAACUGUUCUGAGCCAUUUUAGCAAUCUCCAUGCUUCUUACAAGCAUGUUAUCCUUUUGGCUUAUUCAUUUUUAAUAAGCUCUUUUGGGAGGAAUUUCUUUGCUGCUGUUGUUAUUUUAAUGACACUCGGUUGAAUACAUUGUGCUCACUCUUAUACAUAGCUUUUUUAAUAGCACGGUUCUGAAUGAAGCCCCUCACACAUCUCAGCACUAAAGCCAGUUGCUGCUUUUAUAUUCUCCAACAAACCGCUCCAAAAAUCAAGCCUUUGUGGUGUCUAAAAUGUAGCAAUUGCUUCAUAUGCUGAUGUGACAUUUACUCACUCAAUGUGGGGGUAAUUGGAGACUUUUCAUUCUGAUGAUGUUUUCUGUCUUGGCAGCCUCUCUGAUCUCCUAAAUGUAUCACUGUCACCACCACUGGUUUUGAAGACUUCACUACAGUAGUCCUAAUACUCCCCUUUGCCUAUUUAGGUGUGAAUUUUCUAACUAAAGGGGUUCAGUGUUACAUGUUGAAAGAUUAAAAUCGUUUAGGCA